rnacentral:misc_RNA from 1 species
GUAUGGAAACCUACUAAGUGAUAACUUUCAAAUUCAGAGAAACCCCGGAAUUAAUAAAAAUGGGCAAUCCUGAGCCAAAUCCUGUUUUCUCAAAAGAAAGGUUCCGAAAACGAAAAAAAGGAAAGGAUAGGUGCAGAGACUCAAUGGAAGCUGUUCUAACAAAUGGGGUUGACCGCGAUGGUAGAGGAAUCUUUCCGCCGAAACUUCAGAGAGGAUCAAGGAUAAAUAUAUCUAUUGAAUACUAUAUCAUGAUUACUGAUGGCACGAAUCUCUAUUUUUUAUAUGAAAAAUGGAAGAAUUGGUGUGAAGUGAUUCCACAUUGAAGAAAAAUCAAAUAUUUAUUCAUCAAACCAUUAACUCCAUAGUCCGAUAUACCGAUUAACGAACUGAUCAAUCGGACAAGAAUAAAGAUAGAGUCCCAUUCUACAUGUCAAUACCGGCAACAAUGAAAUUUAUAGUAAGAGGAAAAUCCGUCGACUUUAAAAAUCGUGAGGGUCAAGUCCUCUAUCCCCAAAAAAGCCUAUUUGACUCCCAAAAUUUUUCUCCUACCCCCUGCGGUUACAAAUUCCUUUAUCUUUCUGAGUCUUUGACAAACGUAUUUGGGCGUAAAUUACUUUCUCUUAUCCCAUGUGAUAUAGAAUACACAUCCAAAUUUAGCUAAAGGAAUACCUAUUUAAUUUUUAAUUGAAUAAUUCACCAUUACUAAUACUGAAACUUAGAAAGUCGUCUUUUUUUUUUAAGAUCCAAGAAAAUACAGGACUUGGAGAAAACUCUGUAAUCCCCCUUGUCCCUUUAAUUGACAUAGACCCCAGUCAUCUAAUAAUAUAAUAAAACGAGGAUGGGAUGCUACGCUGGGAAUGGUCGGGAUAGCUCAGCU